rnacentral:sRNA from 1 species
AGCACCCGCGGUAAUUCCAGCUCCAAUAGCGUAUAUUAAAGUUGUUGCAGUUAAAAAGCUCGUAGUUGAAUUUCGGGACCAAUUUGUUGGUCGUGCCUCGGUACGUACUGGUAUUAUUGGUUUCUCCCUUCUGAAGAACCUCGAUGCCAUUAAUUUGGUGUCGUGGGGAAUCAGGACUGUUACUUUGAAAAAUUAGAGUGUUUAAAGCAAGCAUACGCUUGAAUACAUUAGCAUGGAAUAAUGAAAUAGGACGUUUGAUUCUAUUUUGUUGGUUUCUAGGAUCGACGUAAUGAUUAAUAGGGAUAGUUGGGGGCAUUAGUAUUCAAUUGUCAGAGGUGAAAUUCUUGGAUUUAUUGAAGACUAACUACUGCGAAAGCAUUU